rnacentral:rRNA from 1 species
UGGGGAAUAUUGGACAAUGGGGGCAACCCUGAUCCAGCAAUGCCGCGUGUGUGAAGAAGGUCUUCGGAUUGUAAAGCACUUUCGACGGGGACGAUGAUGACGGUACCCGUAGAAGAAGCCCCGGCUAACUUCGUGCCAGCAGCCGCGGUAAUACGAAGGGGGCUAGCGUUGCUCGGAAUGACUGGGCGUAAAGGGCGUGUAGGCGGUUUACACAGUCAGAUGUGAAAUCCCCGGGCUUAACCUGGGAGCUGCAUUUGAUACGUGUAGACUAGAGUGUGAGAGAGGGUUGUGGAAU